UACGUAGGGUGCAAGCGUUGUCCGGAAUUAUUGGGCGUAAAGCGCGUGUAGGCGGCUUUGCAAGUCGGGUGUGAAAUCCCUCAGCUCAACUGAGGAAGUGCGCCCGAAACUGCAGAGCUUGAAUAUCGGAGAGGAUGGCGGAAUUCCCCAAGUAGAGGUGAAAUUCGUAGAUAUGGGGAGGAACACCGGUGGCGAAGGCGGCCAUCUGGACGACUAUUGACGCUGAGACGCGAAAGCAUGGGGAGCAAACAGG
rnacentral:rRNA from 1 species